UCCUCAUUGAGUGCCUCCAUCAGUGUGU
rnacentral:piRNA from 1 species